AAGUUUUAAGUUAAGAUUAAACUAGUAACCUUCAAAGUUAAAUAUAUAUUUAUAUUUUAAACUUUGUAUACU
rnacentral:tRNA from 1 species